rnacentral:rRNA from 1 species
GACGAACGCUGGCGGCGUGCCUAACACAUGCAAGUCGAACGGAGAUAUAAUUUCGGUUAUAUCUUAGUGGCGAACGGGUGAGUAACGCGUGAGCAACCUGACUCUUAGAGGGGGAUAACACUCGGAAACAGGUGCUAAUACCGCAUAAGACCACGACAUGGCAUCAUGACGAGGUCAAAGGAGCAAUCCGCGGAGAGAGGGGCUCGCGUCCCAUUAGAUAGAUGGCGGGGUAACGGCCCACCAUGUCAGCGAUGGGUAGCCGAGCUGAGAGGCUACUCGGCCACACUGGAACUGAGACACGGUCCAGACUCCUACGGGAGGCAGCAGUGGGGAAUAUUGGGCAAUGGGCGCAAGCCUGACCCAGCAACGCCGCGUGAGGGAAGAAGGCUUUCGGGUUGUAAACCUCUGUCCUUGGUGACGAAAAAAAUGACGGUAGCCAAGGAGGAAGCCCCGGCUAACUACGUGCCAGCCGCCGCCGUAA